rnacentral:rRNA from 1 species
CUUAAUGGCAAAUUGGUGAUUAACGCGUUGGUGAUCUGCCUCGAAGUGUGGAAUAACGUUCCGAAAGGAACGCUAAUACCGCAUGUGCUCUCGAUUUUUAGAAAGUUGAGAGUAAAGGAUUUAUUCGCUUCGAGAGGAGCCUGCGUCCCAUCAGCUGGUUGGUAGGGUAACGGCCUACCAAGGCUAUGACGGGUAGGGGACCUGAGAGGGUGGCCCCCCACAAUGGAACUGAAACACGGUCCAUACACCUACGGGUGGCAGCAGUAGGGAAUAUUAGAAACGGACUAUUGUCUGAUCUUGCAACACCGCGUGUGCGAAGAAGCCUUCGGGUCUUAAAGCACUUU